GACGAACGCUGGCGGCGUGCUUAACACAUGCAAGUCGAACGGAAAGGCCCUGCUUUUGUGGGGUGCUCGAGUGGCGAACGGGUGAGUAACACGUGAGUAACCUGCCCUUGACUUUGGGAUAACUUCAGGAAACUGGGGCUAAUACCGGAUAGGAGCUCCUGCUGCAUGGUGGGGGUUGGAAAGUUUCGGCGGUUGGGGAUGGACUCGCGGCUUAUCAGCUUGUUGGUGGGGUAGUGGCUUACCAAGGCUUUGACGGGUAGCCGGCCUGGGAGGGUGACCGGCCACAUUGGGACUGAGAUACGGCCCAGACUCCUACGGGAGGCAGCAGUGGGGAAUAUGGCACAAUGGGGGGAAGCGAGAUGCAGCAACGCCGCGUGCGGGAUGACGUCCUUCGGGUUGUAAACCGCUUUCGCCUGUGACGAAGCGUGAGUGACGGUAAUGGGUAAGGAAGCACCGGCUAACUACGUG
rnacentral:rRNA from 1 species